GAGGUAUCUUAUGUUGGACAUCCCUUCUUUGUGGAAUUUUUCUGCCAGCCGAGAUCUUUGGAGAUAGGUAUUUCAUCUCUUUGGAAAAAAACCAUCAGUUCUCUUCAGGGAAUUCCAGCAAGCUGGGUAUACCACAAACACCCGGAAAUACCCUUGUGCUGUCAGGCCUGGAAUGGGUAUUGCCGUCACAGUACUUGAACAUUCAGUUGCUCCAUCUCAGAUGUUCCCCAGUCCACAAAGCAAAACCACCUACCUUCCUGAUCCUUCUGGCCAUGGAAGCAGAUCUGGCCACAAGAUCUUCUGAAAUCUCAUCUCCUGGUUUCUGAGUCUGCUACGAACUGCUUAAGACAGGAUCGCUGCUGUGGAUUUGUGUGUGUGUGUGUUUUUAUACUCUCCUUGAGCCAAAGAUUUGCUAUUGUGGAAGAAAUGAACAAUGUACUGUUUUUCCUGGUAACUAUAUCAUGUGAAGGGUAUUGGCAUUGCUCUGUAUAUUGUGGACUGUGCAACCAUUGCUAUUUCUGUUGUAUGAAAAAUAAAUAACUAGGU